rnacentral:rRNA from 1 species
ACUCCUACGGGAGGCAGCAGUGGGGAAUAUUGGACAAUGGGCGCAAGCCUGAUCCAGCCAUGCCGCGUGUGUGAAGAAGGCCUUCGGGUUGUAAAGCACUUUUGUACGGGAAGAAAAGCACUCGGUUAAUACCCGGGUGUCAUGACGGUACCGUAAGAAUAAGCACCGGCUAACUUCGUGCCAGCAGCCGCGGUAAUACGAAGGGUGCAAGCGUUACUCGGAAUUACUGGGCGUAAAGCGUGCGUAGGUGGUUUGUUAAGUCUGAUGUGAAAGCCCUGGGCUCAACCUGGGAAUUGCAUUGGAUACUGGCAGUCUAGAGUGCGGUAGAGGGUAGCGGAAUUCCCGGUGUAGCAGUGAAAUGCGUAGAUAUCGGGAGGAACAUCCGUGGCGAAGGCGGCUACCUGGACCAGCACUGACACUGAGGCACGAAAGCGUGGGGAGCAAACAGGAUUAGAUACCCUGGUAGUCCACGCCCUAAACGAUGCGAACUGGAUGUUGGGGGCAAUUGA